UACGUAGGGGGCUAGCGUUGUCCGGAAUCAUUGGGCGUAAAGGGCGCGUAGGCGGCCACCGCAAGUCGACUGUGAAAUCUCCGGGCUUAACCCGGAAAGGUCAGCCGAUACUGCGGGGCUAGAGUGCAGAAGGGGCAACUGGAAUUCUCGGUGUAGCGGUGAAAUGCGUAGAUAUCGAGAGGAACACCUGCGGCGAAGGCGGGUUGCUGGGCUGACACUGACGCUGAUGCGCGAAAGCUAGGGGAGCGAACGGG
rnacentral:rRNA from 1 species